rnacentral:rRNA from 1 species
UACGUAGGGUGCGAGCGUUAAUCGGAAUUACUGGGCGUAAAGCGUGCGCAGGCGGUUUUGUAAGUCAGAUGUGAAAUCCCCGGGCUUAACCUGGGACUGCGUUUGAAACUACAAGGCUAGAGUGUGGCAGAGGGGGGUGGAAUUCCACGUGUAGCAGUGAAAUGCGUAGAGAUGUGGAGGAACACCGAUGGCGAAGGCAGCCCCCUGGGUUAACACUGACGCUCAGGCACGAAAGCGUGGGGAGCAAACAGG